rnacentral:ribozyme from 1 species
UUCAACAUUAGUUUUUUCUACUGUUCUUAGCCUUUUCUGGGCUUUUCGUCGUGUAGAAUGGUAGCUUUCCCCACCAAAAAUCCAAGCUUGGGUACACAGGUCUGUCCCAACCCCUUGGGCGGAUGGUGGAGCAAGGCAAUUGUUCUGC